GUUGGCGUCCUCGUUGACUUUAGUGAUUUCUUGAUUCACCAGUCAAUGUUGACACCACCGC
rnacentral:pre_miRNA from 1 species